rnacentral:rRNA from 1 species
CCCUUAGACGUUCUGGGCCGCACGCGCGCUACACUGACACAGGCAACGAGCUUUCCUUUACCGAAAGGUAUGGGUAAUCUUUUGAAACUGUGUCGUGCUGGGGAUAGAUCCUUGCAAUUUUUGAUCUUAAACGAGGAAUUCCUAGUAAGCGCGAGUCAUCAACUCGCGUUGAUUACGUCCCUGCCCUUUGUACACACCGCCCGUCGCUACUACCGAUUGAAUGGCUUAGUGAGGCCUCAGGAUCCGCGCUUAAUGCGUGGAGAAUUUGGACAAACUACGUCAUUUAGAGGAAGUAAAAGUCGUAACA